UAGUUCAGUUGGUAGCACAUGACACUUGCAAUGUCAGGGUUGUGGGUUCGAUUCCCAU
rnacentral:tRNA from 1 species